rnacentral:rRNA from 1 species
AGUGAACGCUGGCGGUAGGCCUAACACAUGCAAGUCGAACGGCAGCACAGUAAGAGCUUGCUCUUACGGGUGGCGAGUGGCGGACGGGUGAGGAAUACAUCGGAAUCUACUUUUUCGUGGGGGAUAACGUAGGUAAACUUACGCUAAUACCGCAUACGACCUACGGGGGAAAGCAGUGGAUCUUCUGACCUUGCGCGAUUGAAUGAGCCGAUGUCGGAUUAGCUAGUUGGCGGGGUAAAGGCCCACCAAGGCGACGAUCCGUAGCUGGUCUGAGAGGAUGAUCAGCCACAUUGGAACUGAGACACGGUCCAGACUCCUACGGGAGGCAGCAGUGGGGAAUAUUGGACAAUGGGCGCAAGCAUGAUCCAGCCAUACCGCGUGGGUGAAGAAGGCCUUCGGGUUGUAAAGCCCUUUUGUUGGGAAAGAAAAGCAGCAGGUUAAUACCCCGCUGUUCUGACGGUACCCAAAGAAUAAGCACCGGCUAACUUCGUG